rnacentral:piRNA from 1 species
UGGUGGUGAGAUAGCCUCUGGCCACA